rnacentral:rRNA from 1 species
CAGGCCUUGACAUCCAAUGAACUUUCCAGAGAUGGAUUGGUGCCUUCGGGAACAUUGAGACAGGUGCUGCAUGGCUGUCGUCAGCUCGUGUCGUGAGAUGUUGGGUUAAGUCCUGUAACGAGCGCAACCCUCGCCCUUAGUUGCCAGCAUUUAGUUGGGCACUCUAAGGGGACUGCCGGUGAUAAGCCGAGAGGAAGGUGGGGAUGACGUCAAGUCCUCAUGGCCCUUACGGGCUGGGCUACACACGUGCUACAAUGGUCGGUACAGAGGGUUGCCAAGCCGCGAGGUGGAGCUAAUCCCACAAAACCGAUCGUAGUCCGGAUCGCAGUCUGCAACUCGACUGCGUGAAGUCGGAAUCGCUAGUAAUCGCGAAUCAGAAUGUCGCGGUGAAUACGUUCCC